rnacentral:rRNA from 1 species
GUAAGGAAUAUUGGACAAUGGCCGCAAGGCUGAUCCAGCCAUCCAGCGUGCAGGAAGAAGGCCCUACGGGUUGUAAACUGCUUUUGUCAGGGAAUAAACCCUUGGAUUCACUCCGAGGCUGAAGGUACCUGAAGAAUAAGCACCGGCUAACUCCGUGCCAGCAGCCGCGGUAAUACGGAGGGUGCGAGCGUUAUCCGGAAUUACUGGGUUUAAAGGGUGCGUAGGCGGCUUGGUAAGUCAGGAGUGAAAGUUUGCGGCUCAACCGUAAAAUUGCUUUUGAUACUGCCGGGCUGGAAUUAGGAUGAGGUCAGCGGAAUGUGGCAUGUAGCGGUGAAAUGCAUAGAUAUGCCAUAGAACACCUAUUGCGAAGGCAGCUGGCUAGACCUAUAUUGACGCUGAGGCACGAAAGCGUGGGGAGCGAACAGGAUUAGAAACCCGAGUAGUCC